rnacentral:rRNA from 1 species
UCCGGAAUCAUUGGGCGUAAAGCGCCUGUAGGUUGUUUAUUAAGUCUGUGGUUAAAGACUAGGGCUUAACCCUGGGAAAGCAAUGGAAACUAAUAGACUAGAGUAUGGCAGGGGUAGAGGGAAUUUCUAGUGUAGCGGUGAAAUGCGUAGAUAUUAGAAAGAACACCGGUGGCGAAAGCGCUCUACUGGACCAUUACUGACACUCAGAGGCGAAAGCUAGGGUAGCAAAAGGGAUUAGAUACCCCUGUAGUCCUAGCCGUAAACGAUGGAUACUAGAUGUUGUGCAUAAAGUACAGUAUCGCAGCUAACGCGUUAAGUAUCCCGCCUGGGGAGUACGCUCGCAAGGGUGAAACUCAAAGGAAUUGACGGGGGCCCGCACAAGCGGUGGAGCAUGUGGUUUAAUUCGAUGCAACGCGAAGAACCUUACCAGGGCUUGACAUACUACGAAUUCUCUUGAAAAAGAGAAGUGCCUUCGGGAAUGUAGAUACAGGUGGUGCAUGGCUGUCGUCAGCUCGUGUCGUGAGAUGUUGGGUUAAGUCCCGCAACGAGCGCAACCCUUAUUUUUAGUUACCAAUUCGUUGGGUUCUCUAGAAAGACUGCCGGUGACAAACCGGAGGAAGGUGAGGAUGACGUCAAGUCAGCAUGCCCCUUAUGUCCUGGGCUACACACGUGCUACAAUGGCGGAGACAAAGAGUCGCGAGCUCGCGAGAGUCAGCUAAUCUCAUAAACUUCGCCUAAGUUCAGAUUGCAGGCUGCAACUC